rnacentral:rRNA from 1 species
UGACCGAUAGUGAACCAGUACCGUGAGGGAAAGGCGAAAAGAACCCCGGCGAGGGGAGUGAAAAAGAACCUGAAACCGUGUACGUACAAGCAGUGGGAGCACCUUCGGGUGUGACUGCGUACCUUUUGUAUAAUGGGUCAGCGACUUAUAUUCUGUAGCAAGGUUAACCGUAUAGGGGAGCCGCAGGGAAACCGAGUCUUAACUGGGCGUUAAGUUGCAGGGUAUAGACCCGAAACCCGGUGAUCUAGCCAUGGGCAGGUUGAAGGUUGGGUAACACUAACUGGAGGACCGAACCGACUAAUGUUGAAAAAUUAGCGGAUGACUUGUGGCUGGGGGUGAAAGGCCAAUCAAACCGGGAGAUAGCUGGUUCUCCCCGAAAGCUAUUUAGGUAGCGCCUCGUGAACUCAUCUUCGGGGGUAGAGCACUGUUUCGGCUAGGGGGUCAUCCCGACUUACCAACCCGAUGCAAACUACGAAUACCGAAGAAUGUUAUCACGGGAGACACACGGCGGGUGCUAACGUCCGUCGUGAAGAGGGAAACAACCCAGACCGCCAGCUAAGGUCCCAAAGUCAUGGUUAAGUGGGAAACGAUGUGGGAAGGCACAGACAGCCAGGAUGUUGGCUUAGAAGCAGCCAUCAUUUAAAGAAAGCGUAAUAGCUCACUGGUCGAGUCGGCCUGCGCGGAAGAUGUAACGGGGCUAAACCAUGCACCGAAGCUGCGGCAGCGACACUAUGUGUUGUUGGGUAGGGGAGCG